GUCCCGCCUGCCCUGUGACUACAUGUUUAACGGCCGCGGUAUUCUGACCGUGCUAAGGUAGCGCAAUCACUUGUCCUUUAAAUGAGGACCAGUAUGAAUGGCAUCACGAGGGCUUAACUGUCUCCUUUUUCCUGUCAAUGAAAUUGAUCUCCCCGUGCAGAAGCGGGGAUACCCCCAUAAGACGAGAAGACCCUAUGGAGCUUCAGGCUCACGAACAGACUAUGUUAAACAACCUAACAUACAAGAAUAAACUAAUUACGCCCUGUUCACAUGCCUUUGGUUGGGGCGACCACGGGGAAAUAAAAAACCCCCACGCGGACCGAGAGAAUAUACCCUCUAUACACCCCAGAGCGACAACUCUAAUUUACAGAAUUUCUGACCAAUCACAUGAUCCGGUUCAACCGAUCAACGAACCCAGUUACCCUAGGGAUAACAGCGCAAUCCCCUUCUAGAGCCCAUAUCGACAAGGGGGUUUACGACCUCGAUGUUGGAUCAGGACAUCCUACUGGUGUAGCCGCUAUUAAGGG
rnacentral:rRNA from 1 species